rnacentral:piRNA from 1 species
UCCAUAUAGCUUGCUGCCUAAGUAUUUUA